UUUAUGGAGAGUUUGAUCCUGGCUCAGGAUGAACGCUGGCGGCGUGCCUAAUACAUGCAAGUCGAGCGAACAUCAGAGAAGCUUGCUUCUCUGAUGUUAGCGGCGGACGGGUGAGUAACACGUGGAUAACCUACCUAUAAGACUGGGAUAACUUCGGGAAACCGGAGCUAAUACCGGAUAAUAUUUUGAACCGCAUGGUUCAAAAGUGAAAGACGGUCUUGCUGUCACUUAUAGAUGGAUCCGCGCUGCAUUAGCUAGUUGGUAAGGUAACGGCUUACCAAGGCAACGAUGCAUAGCCGACCUGAGAGGGUGAUCGGCCACACUGGAACUGAGACACGGUCCAGACUCCUACGGGAGGCAGCAGUAGGGAAUCUUCCGCAAUGGGCGAAAGCCUGACGGAGCAACGCCGCGUGAGUGAUGAAGGUCUUCGGAUCGUAAAACUCUGUUAUUAGGGAAGAACAUAUGUGUAAGUAACUGUGCACAUCUUGACGGUACCUAAUCAGAAAGCCACGGCUAACUACGUGCCAGCAGCCGCGGUAAUACGUAGGUGGCAAGCGUUAUCCGGAAUUAUUGGGCGUAAAGCGCGCGUAGGCGGUUUUUUAAGUCUGAUGUGAAAGCCCACGGCUCAACCGUGGAGGGUCAUUGGAAACUGGAAAACUUGAGUGCAGAAGAGGAAAGUGGAAUUCCAUGUGUAGCGGUGAAAUGCGCAGAGAUAUGGAGGAACACCAGUGGCGAAGGCGACUUUCUGGUCUGUAACUGACGCUGAUGUGCGAAAGCGUGGGGAUCAAACAGGAUUAGAUACCCUGGUAGUCCACGCCGUAAACGAUGAGUGCUAAGUGUUAGGGGGUUUCCGCCCCUUAGUGCUGCAGCUAACGCAUUAAGCACUCCGCCUGGGGAGUACGACCGCAAGGUUGAAACUCAAAGGAAUUGACGGGGACCCGCACAAGCGGUGGAGCAUGUGGUUUAAUUCGAAGCAACGCGAAGAACCUUACCAAAUCUUGACAUCCUUUGACAACUCUAGAGAUAGAGCUUUCCCCUUCGGGGGACAAAGUGACAGGUGGUGCAUGGUUGUCGUCAGCUCGUGUCGUGAGAUGUUGGGUUAAGUCCCGCAACGAGCGCAACCCUUAAGCUUAGUUGCCAUCAUUAAGUUGGGCACUCUAAGUUGACUGCCGGUGACAAACCGGAGGAAGGUGGGGAUGACGUCAAAUCAUCAUGCCCCUUAUGAUUUGGGCUACACACGUGCUACAAUGGACAAUACAAAGGGCAGCGAAACCGCGAGGUCAAGCAAAUCCCAUAAAGUUGUUCUCAGUUCGGAUUGUAGUCUGCAACUCGACUACAUGAAGCUGGAAUCGCUAGUAAUCGUAGAUCAGCAUGCUACGGUGAAUACGUUCCCGGGUCUUGUACACACCGCCCGUCACACCACGAGAGUUUGUAACACCCGAAGCCGGUGGAGUAACCUUUUAGGAGCUAGCCGUCGAAGGUGGGACAAAUGAUUGGGGUGAAGUCGUAACAAGGUAGCCGUAUCGGAAGGUGCGGCUGGAUCACCUCCUUU
rnacentral:rRNA from 1 species